rnacentral:lncRNA from 1 species
CAGGCUUAAUGUGCCCCUGCAAUAUCCAGCUUCCUCCCCAGGGGCCUGUGGGAGCCAGGGACACCCCACCCACUUCCUGCAGCUAGCUACCUGCUGUAGAAGGAGGGGUCUUCCAAUGGGACCUCCAUGCUGUUACCUGUGUUCGUCUUGCUUCCUCUCUCUCUUCUCUCUUCCACACGUACACUCACACACACACACAAUCAUAUAUAUGACAUCCACACACCCACCAGACAGUGUUUGACAGAUACACACAUGAAUUCAUAUGCACAUUCAUGCAUACACCACAGCCACUGGGGUGCAGGUUUUGAUGUGGAGAGGUCUGAGAGGGGACUUUCCAUGCCAAGGUCUUUGGAUCCUCCCUCCUUCCCCCCUCCUCUGUAGCCAGGCCCCUGCAGCUCAUCAGCUUCCCCUCUGCUCAUGGCUCCCAGUCUUUCCAGAUGUCAGCCUACCCAGCCCAGCCCUGGCCACAGCCUGUCCACCCGCCCAGGGCAGGCUCCUUUUUUUCCUGUUUGUCCUCUCCAAUGACCUGCAAAGCUGGAGACCAAAACUGGCC